rnacentral:rRNA from 1 species
AAAUAACUGCAGACGGUGGAUCGCUCGGCUCCCGCGUCGAUGAAGAACGCAGCCAACUGCGUGAAUCAAUGUGAAUUGCAGUACACCUUGAUCAUCGACGCUUCGAACGCACAUGGCGGCCUGGGGUCGCUCCCUGGGCCACGCCCGGUUGAGGGUCGGUUU